rnacentral:rRNA from 1 species
AACACGUGGGCAAUCUGCCCUUCACUCUGGGACAAGCCCUGGAAACGGGGUCUAAUACCGGAUAACACUCCUGCCUGCAUGGGCGGGGGUUAAAAGCUCCGGCGGUGAAGGAUGAGCCCGCGGCCUAUCAGCUUGUUGGUGGGGUAAUGGCCUACCAAGGCGACGACGGGUAGCCGGCCUGAGAGGGCGACCGGCCACACUGGGACUGAGACACGGCCCAGACUCCUACGGGAGGCAGCAGUGGGGAAUAUUGCACAAUGGGCGAAAGCCUGAUGCAGCGACGCCGCGUGAGGGAUGACGGCCUUCGGGUUGUAAACCUCUUUCAGCAGGGAAGAAGCGAAAGUGACGGUACCUGCAGAAGAAGCGCCGGCUAACUACGUGCCAGCAGCCGCGGUAAUACGUAGGGCGCAAGCGUUGUCCGGAAUUAUUGGGCGUAAAGAGCUCGUAGGCGGCUUGUCGCGUCGGAUGUGAAAGCCCGGGGCUUAACCCCGGGUCUGCAUUCGAUACGGGCAGGCUAGAGUGUGGUAGGGGAGAUCGGAAUUCCUGGUGUAGCGGUGAAAUGCGCAGAUAUCAGGAGGAACACCGGUGGCGAAGGCGGAUCUCUGGGCCAUUACUGACGCUGAGGAGCGAAAGCGUGGGGAGCGAACAGGAUUAGAUACCCUGGUAGUCCACGCCGUAAA